rnacentral:ncRNA from 3 species
CGUAGGUGAACCUGCGGAAGGA